GGCUGCAUGUUGGCGUAGUUGGUAGCCCUUUCACCUUGCAGCAAGAAGGUUCAGGGUUCGAUUCCCGGCCUGGGGUCU